rnacentral:rRNA from 1 species
AACGAACGCUGGCGGCAGGCCUAACACAUGCAAGUCGAGCGCCCCGCAAGGGGAGCGGCGGACGGGUGAGUAACGCGUGGGAACGUACCCUUUGGUUAGGAAUAGCCCUGGGAAACUGGGAGUAAUACCGGAUACGGUCGAGAGACGAAAGAUUUAUCGCCGAAGGAUCGGCCCGCGUUGGAUUAGGUAGUUGGUGGGGUAAUGGCCUACCAAGCCGACGAUCCAUAGCUGGUUUGAGAGGAUGAUCAGCCACACUGGGACUGAGACACGGCCCAGACUCCUACGGGAGGCAGCAGUGGGGAAUCUUAGACAAUGGGCGCAAGCCUGAUCUAGCCAUGCCGCGUGAGCGAUGAAGGCCUUAGGGUUGUGAAGCUCUUUCGGGGGGGAAGAUAAUGACUGUACCCCCAGAAGAAGCCCCGGCUAACUCCGUGCCAGCCGCCGCAGUAA